rnacentral:lncRNA from 1 species
UAGUAAUCAGUUUCAGUCCUAAAGACCAAAUCUACAGUGCAACCGUAUGUCUAGAUCAAAUCUACAGUGCAACCGUAUGUAUAGAUCUUUAUCUAAAGUAAUACAAACAUCAAUCAGUAUCAAUUAAAUGUAAACACAAAUUUAAAUAUGCCAAACCUAUUUUAAAAUAAAUCCUUCAAAAACUGCAUCUCUGAUCUAAAUUCAUUUAUCAUGAUACUUGAAUCAAGCAUAACUAUAACAACAGUAAAAUGACCUUUGUGAACCGCGUACAUGUCAGCUUCUAUCAGGAAGUACGACUUAUAGAGGUUUCACUGUAACUAUACAACCAGGUACAGAUCUGGUGAAACUUAAAAGGUUGUGUGGCACAUGAGCGGCAAGUGACAGCAAUAGCGAAGAAUUCAUUUUUUUUUCUAAACAUCCCGUUUUGUUUCUUAGGUCAAAUAUAUAUAUAUAAUCUGCAUCAGUUCUAUCAGUCUUGCAUUAUGGAACGACCAGUUAACUUUAUUAAAGGUUGAGGGAUGCUAUGGUAUUUGCUAAAACAAUAUUCUGAUCCUCAAUUCGACGAACAAAUUAUUGUGGUCAAGCGGAUGACCAAAAAAAAAAUCCAGAUUUUUUCCUUACCCUACAGUAUUAUUAUUUUUUUGAUUGAUAGCUUAGUAAAACUUAAAAAAAAUAUUCAUAUACUCAGACAAAAAUUCAUAAACUUCCCUGAAGUUAUUAUACUAAAACUCCGUCCAAAUGAAUUAAAUACCUAGUACUCGUUUUUAUUGGGGGGUCGGAGAAGGCUCAUUGACCUUGUGAUCUAAAUAGUCGAACUACUGUUUAACCAGCGGGUCGACCCUGGGAUUGUGAGUUGAAAUCCCACUAGUGGCAGGUGACUCUAAUUGACUAGCAUUGCUAGUUUUACUACCGAAGGCCAGUGAUUUUCUCCUAGCACUCCAGCCUCCUCUAUUAAUGAUAAUGACCGCCACAAAAGAGGUUUAAAAAUAGAGUAAAUUUAAAACACAAAUCAAUUAAUUAAUAGUGAAACUAUUUAAGUUGAUGUAUGAAAUACUAGGUUCUGGCAGAAAUCUAUCAUGGUCUACAAUAUGUUUUAAUGAGAAAAAAAUCGGAAUAAGGUGACGCGCUUGAAGCCAAUUAAAGGAAAUAUUAAUAAAUUAUGAAAAUAAUUUAAGAAUAAUCAACUAUUUUUUUGAAAUUUUACCAAGAAUGCAUGAUUAGAUUAUGAUACGGCGAGUUCUAGACGCUUUAUGUCAUUUCUUCGUGUUUCUGUUUGAACCUAUGAUGUUGCCAUUUUGUUUUAAGUUGUUAUGAACCUUCAUCCGCUUUGUCCGUCGUGUGAUUUCACCACUGGAGAAUAUACACCUGAUUUCCCGUAAUGUUUAUAAUCAUCACAACAGAAAAUAAACUACGAUACCGAAAUUAAGGUUUUGCAAACGUAUUUGAGUAGAAUAGUCAAAGUUUGAGUAAAACAUGUAAGUUCUGUAACGGCACGUUCACGCAGUAUAUUGGAAAAGAAAUGCAUUUAUAACAAUCUCUGAUGCAUAUUAAAUUUAAUUAUAUAGAGUAUUAUAUAGCGAACAAAUAUAAAUCUAUCCAUGUUUUAUAAAAAUAAAAACUUUGGAACAUACAAGGAAUAGAAUGUAGUCCACUAAUUAAAAAUGAAAAUUCUUUAUGAAGACGUCAUGGUUAAACAAGAACAAAAUUAUCAAAAAUGGAUAUGUCUUACAUGAUUUAUUUUGAAAGAUCAGUUUGCAAUUAUUAGUCCAGCAUCAUUGAGGCCCCUCAUGGGGGGGGGGGGUCCUAGUAAUCACAUAAUCACCAUUUUUUUGCCAAUAUAAUCACAUAAUCAUUAAAUAUUUGCUUAUCUUUAGUAAUCAAAUAAUCAUAAACUAAAAAUAA